rnacentral:rRNA from 1 species
UACAGAGGGGGCGAGCGUUGUUCGGAAUUACUGGGCGUAAAGGGCGCGUAGGCGGCCUGCUAAGUCGGACGUGAAAUCCCUCGGCUCAACCGGGGAACUGCGUCCGAUACUGGCGGGCUUGAAUCCGGGAGAGGAAUGGGGAAUUCCAGGUGUAGCGGUGAAAUGCGUAGAUAUCUGGAGGAACACCGGUGGCGAAGGCGGCAUUCUGGACCGGCAUUGACGCUGAUGCGCGAAAGCCAGGGGAGCAAAACGGGG